UACGUAGGGGGCUAGCGUUGUCCGGAAUCAUUGGGCGUAAAGCGCGUGUAGGCGGACCUGCAAGUCGGACGUGAAAGCCCUGGGCUCAACCCAGGAACUGCAUCCGAAACUGCGGGCCUGGAGUGGUGGAGAGGGAAGCAGAAUUCCUGGUGUAGAGGUGAAAUUCGUAGAUAUCAGGAGGAACACCGGUGGCGAAGGCGGCUUCCUGGACACUUACUGACGCUGAGACGCGAAAGCGUGGGGAGCAAACAGG
rnacentral:rRNA from 1 species